rnacentral:rRNA from 1 species
GUGCCAGCAGCCGCGGUAAUACCGGCAGCUCAAGUGAUGUCCCAUAUUAUUGGGCCUAAAGCGUCCGUAGCUGGCCGACCAAGUCUCCCGGGAAAUCCACCCGCCCAACGGGUGGGCGUCCGGUAGAAACUGGCCGGCUUGGAACCGGAAGGCUCAGAGAGUACGUCCGGGGUAGGAGUGAAAUUCCGUAAUCCCGGACGGACUACCGAUGGCGAAAGCACUCUGAGAAGACGGCUUCGACAGUGAAGGACGAAAGCUAAGAUCGCGAACCGGAUUAGAAACCCGAGUAGUCC